rnacentral:rRNA from 1 species
UACGAAGGGUGCAAACGUUGCUCGGAAUUAUUGGGCGUAAAGCGCACGUAGGCGGCAUCGCAAGUCGGAUGUGAAAUCCCUCGGCUUAACCAAGGAAGUGCAUCCGAAACUGCAGUGCUUGAGUACUUAAGAGGAUCGCGGAAUUCCCGGUGUAGAGGUGAAAUUCGUAGAUAUCAGGAGGAACACCGGUGGCGAAGGCGGAUCUCUGGGCCUUACCUGACGCUGAGGCGCGAAAGCUAGGGGAGCGAACAGG